rnacentral:tRNA from 1 species
ACAAGAUGGUUGAGUUAUAAACGAUAAACUGUAAAUUUAUUUACGAGCAAGUGCUCUCUUGU